rnacentral:rRNA from 1 species
UACGUAGGGGGCAAGCGUUGUCCGGAUUUAUUGGGCGUAAAGAGCGUGUAGGCGGCCAGAUAGGUCUGCUGUGAAAACUCGAGGCUUAACCUCGAGCUGUCGGUGGAAACCAUCUGGCUAGAGUCCGGAAAAGGAGAGUGGAAUUCCUGGUGUAGCGGUGAAAUGCGCAGAUAUCAGGAAGAACACCCGUGGCGAAAGCGGCUCUCUGGGACGGUACUGACGCUGAGACGCGAAAGCGUGGGGAGCAAACAGG